rnacentral:lncRNA from 1 species
ACCCUUUCACAAUAGGCUUAACCUUGUAAUACUAUCAGGGUCUGACUCCUCUAUGAUGACCUUUCAACUUAUCAGUUAUAACUCCAUUUCAAGAAGGCCAUCACUUCAAAGGUAAAAAAUAUCCGUUAUACAAUUUAAUUCUUUAAAUACAAUCAAGGGACAAUUACAUUAACCAUGCGAUGAAUGUUGCCUACUGUACUGCAUCAACAUUUUUCC